AGUAGUAGUAGUAGUAGUGACCGUUUUUGUCGUUGUUGUUGACCGUGAAAUAACUCGAGGGGACAACACACCCAAGAUAUGCAAACACACACACACACAGACACAAACACACACACACACACACACAGACACAAACACCUCACCAACACACACACAAACACAAACACAAUGCGGAUGUUUCGACGUUCACACACACACACGCACCCGGAACCCAGCGAGAGCGAGAGAGACAGAGAGAGAGGAAGAGAGAGAGAGCGAGAGGUGGGUGCUUCUGCUGGUUGUUCCCCUCUGAGCAGGUUGUGGUGGCUGGCUGGCUGGCUGGUUGGCUGGCCCGGGGGUAGGUACACGAGGGGAGCCGGCGAGGGGAGAGGGGGGCGGGUUAGCAGGGAGUGAGGGCCCACCGGUCGUUGCCCUCAGUAACUCAGUUUGUGUGAAGCGGCCGUAGAGUCUGGGCACGCUUGCCGACCCCUCGCAUCCCGUUGUGAGAGGUGUGGGGAGAGCGGUGCAUUUGGUCGUCAGAGAGUACGCGCGUGGUGGCUCCGUCUGUCCUUACCGGGGAACUCUGCGCUAGCCUGCUUGUCUCACUCUGCGGACGAGGCAUAACACCAUAACUUUUGCUUUCCCCAACCACCACCACUACCACUAACACCACUACUACUGUUACCGCGUCUACUGGUACCUGUUGUUUUUACGUUCCCCCCAGUCUCCAUCUCUCCAUCGAAUGAGAACUAGUGAAAAAAAACUGUGACAAGGAAUAAAAUAAAUGGAUACACAGAGCGACGGCCUGAACGUGUCCUGUACUUGUUUUAGUGAGCGAACUGAGCGAGAGAAACGGAACGCGUACAUUAACGGAACAAGAAACUAAACGUGUCCGAAACAUGUUGUGACUCUGACUGAGGCGUGAAAAAAUGCAUUGAAGAAAAGAACGAAAAAAAAAAGGAUGUGUGAGACUGACUGAAAAACAAAAGCGAGAAAGAAAAUAAAGUAAAAAUAAAAGCUAGAGAGAGCCUGGACGUGUCUAGACAUGUUGUGAGUCUGACUGGGACGUGAGAAAUACGCUGAAACACCAAACGAACAAACAAUGAAAUGGAAAUGUGAGACAGACUGAAAGAUAAAUACACAGACAGACGUAAAAAUAGAAAAAAAAAAGAUCGUAGGGCCUGAACGUGUCUGUACAUGUUUUGGUCGUGUUAUAAGGUGUGAAGAGCCGCUUACCUGCCCUCAUUAAGUCACCUGUCCACACCUGAGCCGGGCGUGACCUGCGCCGGGUAUCUCACGAUGUGAGUGAGAUGGUGAUCUGCCGCGCUACCAGUUCAGGUGAGUGGAGGAGCCGCGCCGCACGUGUAGGGGC